rnacentral:rRNA from 1 species
GUGGCGGACUGGUGAGGAACACGUGGGUAAUCUACCCUUAAGAUGGGGAUAGCUGCUAGAAAUAGCAGGUAAUACCGAAUACACUCAAGACUUCAUAAGGAGUUUUGAGGAAAGGAAGCUACGGCUUCGCUUGAGGAUGAGCUUGCGUCCCAUUAGCUUGUUGGUGAGGUAACGGCCCACCAAGGCGACGAUGGGUAUCCGGCCUGAGAGGGUGAACGGACACAUUGGGACUGAGAUACGGCCCAAACUCC